ensembl:lncRNA
GGGUUACGGUACAGAGUCAAUGUGGAGGCUAUAUACAGGGGGUUACGGUACAGAGUCAAUGUGGAGGCUAUAUACAGGUUAUUACGGUACAGAGUCAAUGUGGAGGCUAUAUACAGGGGGUACUGGUACAGAGUCAAUGUGGAGGCUAUAUACAGGUUAUUACGGUACAGAGUCAAUGUGGAGGCUAUAUACAGGGGGUACUGGUACAGAGUCAAUGUGGAGGCUAUAUACAGGGGGUACUGGUACAGAGUCAAUGUGGAGGCUAUAUACAGGGGGUACUGGUACAGAGUCAAUGUGGAGGCUAUAUACAGGGGGUACUGGUACAGAGUCAAUGUGGAGGCUAUAUACAGGGGUACUGGUACAGAGUCAAUGUGGAGGCUAUAUACAGGGUGUUACGGUACAGAGUCAAUGUGGAGGCUAUAUACAGGGUGUUACGGUACAGAGUCAAUGUGGAGGCUAUAUACAGGGGGUACUGGUACAGAGUCAAUGUGGAGGCUAUAUACAGGGUGUUACCGUACAGAGUCAAUGUGGAGGCUAUAUACAGGGUGUUACGGUACAGAGUCAAUGUGGAGGCUAUUUACAGGGUAUUACGGUACAGAGUCAAUGUGGAGGCUAUAUACAGGGUAUUA